CAAUCUGAAAUCAGAGACCACACUGCUGCUCGCAUCACCUCUGCAAGCUGAGACUCCUGUGUCAAAUCAGGGCUCUCAAGACAGAAGUCAUAUUUCUCAAACAACUUUCACAAGGUGCACAGAGGAGUACUUUGAUAAUAAGAGUGAUGUAACAGGCUCCAGCAGCUCUCCUUUUUCUCCACAUGAAGGCAGUCAGUAAAGGACCAAGUCCAGUGACUGAACACUGGCUACUGCAAUGCACAGGACCUACAAUCUCCUGGGACAUCAACAUGUAUGGUACAUUUGAGAGACAGAGCCUGCAGUACAGAUCGAGCCAGCUACUGCUGAGAGUAAGGACGAGGCUUUUGCUGACUUCAGGACAAGUCACAUCGGACCCUUUACUACGAUCUAUGCAUGAGAUGCUGUUUCCUUGCACUCCCUUUCUGCAUGAUGCAAGCGGCUUCUGGACUAUGACACAGCAGAAUAAGAGACAGAAUGAGCCUUCCACUGCUCUGCCAUCCGUCCUGCAGUGCCUGCUAUUUCCAAGGUAUUUCACGUCGCACACCAGCUAAUCAAACCUGACAGUGCAGCCCAGAUAUCAGACCCCAGCAGUGACUGCCUUGAGGAGCUGUCAGAGUGAACUCUCUUGACAAAGCCGACUGAAUAUGUAUGGAAAUAAGCUGAGAAAGAAAAUUUCCUGACCAGAUCUCACUACCUACUCCACUGACCCUCACUGGGUAUGGUGACAUCACACCUACCUCUCAAGAGACCUGGGAAAAACAAAGCCACAACACGUGAAACAAAUAUGCACCCUCCUGGGCAAAGAAAACCCAGUAAGGAACAGCUGUUUCUACCACACCUGGCAUUUCUUAAUGAAUUGCUCCUUUAGCAAAGCAGACUUUAUCCUCAAGAAUUAAACACAUUAAAGGCUUCCUUCCCAAACCCAACAGUGUUCAAAGCAGUUAAUGGUAUCAGGCCUAGACAAACUGGAGAUUGUUCCAGUCUAUGAACAGUGAAGUCCCUCUGAAGCAGUGCUGACCGCAAACCAUAUGAGAAAGGGGAAUAACGUCAUUCAGGGAUCUUGCUAUCCAAGGAUUUCCUAGAGGUAUCAAAGAAAUUCAAACUAGAACAGUAUUUAGGAAGUACUGCCAGCUUUCCCCUUGGAGAAGGUCCUUCCACCAUUAGACAGACAUACCUCACCCAAAUGCUACUGCCUUCUGUUUGAAAUAACUCCACCCAAACUGACCCAUCACCCACCCCAUCAGCAGUCCCAGUCCCAGGAUGGGAGCCAGGGCAGCCUCAGUGGGGCUGUAAUCCUGCCAUGCAAAGCCCACAAGAGAAAACAGAAGGUGAAAGAUGUGGCAGGAGCACCCACUGUCAUCUCAGGGAGUGCCACAGGAUGCUAGAAAAGGGAAAACAGGGAGCUGCACACAUCUGUUACAGGAUCUGCCCUUUAUUACCAGUUGCCAGCUGCAGGACACACUUUCUGUGCUGUACAGCUUAGAGGAUAAGCUGGUUUUAGAAGAUCCAUAUUUUAAAAAGAAUGUUACUUAAAGCACUAUUGAGAAGCUUGUAUGUCCUCCCUUGAACUUGAUGCAGCUGAAUUCCCAGUACUGAGAUGUCUGACUUUACAGGCCAGAAGCUACUACAGUCCUGUAAUAUUUUUCGCAGCCCCUUAAAACAUUUGAAGUAUGCUUUCACUUUCAAAGGGAAUACACAAAGUAUAGGCUGGAAUCAAACAGUAAUGAAUAACUGAGAAAAUAUGAAGAGAUGUGGCACAGAAGGUGACGUUUUCCAUAUCAUUAUUGUAAGCACCAUUAUUUAGGGCUUCAAGAGCAGGCACUGUGCGUGGUGGAUGUUUGGAAAGCUGGAACUCGCUCACUAGCUUGUAACUCCCAAUUCUAUCUCUGUUCAGUCCCCAGAUAAAAUUUUCCCAAGAUAAAUUA